ACGAACGCUGGCGGCAGGCUUAACACAUGCAAGUCGAACGAGAAGCCAGUCUUCGGAUUGGUGGACAGUGGCGGACGGGUGAGUAACGCGUGGGUACUUGCCUCUUGGUACGGGACAACCCUGGGAAACUGGGGCUAAUACCGUAUAUACCGGUUUUGGUGGUUCUUGGUCGGGAAAGAUUUAUCGCCGAGAGAUAGACCCGCGUCCGAUUAGCUAGUUGGUGUGGUAACGGCGCACCAAGGCAUCGAUCGGUAGCUGGUUUGAGAGGAUGAUCAGCCACACUGGGACUGAGACACGGCCCAGACUCCUACGGGAGGCAGCAGUGGGGAAUAUUGGACAAUGGGCGCAAGCCUGAUCCAGCAAUACCGCGUGUGUGAAGAAGGCCCUAGGGUUGUAAAGCACUUUCAGCAGUGAAGAAAAUGCUUAAGGUUAAUAACCUUGAGUCUUGACGUUAACUGCACAAGAAGCACCGGCUAACUCCGUGCCAGCAGCCGCGGUAAUACGGGGGGUGCAAGCGUUAAUCGGAUUUACUGGGCGUAAAGCGCGCGUAGGUGGUUUGGCAAGUUGCAUGUGAAAGCCCCGGGCCCAACCUGGGAAUUGCAUCCAAAACUGCCAGACUAGAGUGUAGUAGAGGGAAGUGGAAUUCCGGGUGUAGCGGUGAAAUGCGUAGAUAUCCGGAGGAACACCAGUGGCGAAGGCGGCUUCCUGGACUAACACUGACGCUGAGGUGCGAAAGCGUGGCGAGCAAACAGGAUUAGAUACCCUGGUAGUCCACGCCGUAAACGAUGUCUACUAGCCGUUGGGGAGCUUGUCUCUUUAGUGGCGCAGCUAACGCAAUAAGUUGACCGCCUGGGGAGUACGGCCGCAAGGCUAAAACUCAAAUGAAUUGACGGGGGCCCGCACAAGCGGUGGAGCAUGUGGUUUAAUUCGAUACAACGCGAAGAACCUUACCUACCCUUGACAUACAGAGAACUUUCCAGAGAUGGAUUGGUGCCUUCGGGAACUCUGAUACAGGUGCUGCAUGGCUGUCGUCAGCUCGUGUCGUGAGAUGUUGGGUUAAGUCCCGUAACGAGCGCAACCCUUAUCCUUAGUUGCUACCAUUUAGUUGGGCACUCUAAGGAUACUGCGCCGGUGCUAAAGCGGAGGAAGGUGGGGACGACGUCAAGUCAUCAUGGCCCUUAUGGGUAGGGCUACACACGUGCUACAAUGGCCGGUACAGAGGGCUGCGAACUCGCGAGAGUAAGCCAAUCCCUUAAAGCCGGUCCUAGUCCGGAUUGCAGUCUGCAACUCGACUGCAUGAAGUUGGAAUCGCUAGUAAUCGCGUAUCAGCAAUGACGCGGUGAAUACGUUCCCGGGCCUUGUACACACCGC
rnacentral:rRNA from 1 species